rnacentral:rRNA from 1 species
GACGAACGCUGGCGGCGUGCCUAAUACAUGCAAGUAGAACGCUGAAGAGAGGAGCUUGCUCUUCUUGGCUGAGUUGCGAACGGGUGAGUAACGCGUAGGUAACCUGCCUGGUAGCGGGGGAUAACUAUUGGAAACGAUAGCUAAUACCGCAUAACAACAGUUGUUGCAUGACAGCUGUUUAAAAGAUGCAAUUGCAUCACUACCAGAUGGACCUGCGUUGUAUUAGCUAGUUGGUGAGGUAACGGCUCACCAAGGCGACGAUACAUAGCCGACCUGAGAGGGUGAUCGGCCACACUGGGACUGAGACACGGCCCAGACUCCUACGGGAGGCAGCAGUAGGGAAUCUUCGGCAAUGGGGGGAACCCUGACCGAGCAACGCCGCGUGAGUGAAGAAGGUUUUCGGAUCGUAAAGCUCUGUUGUAAGAGAAGAACGGGUGUGAGAGUGGAAAGUUCACACUGUGACGGUAUCUUACCAGAAAGGGACGGCUAACUACGUG